rnacentral:rRNA from 1 species
GAUGAACGCUAGCUACAGGCUUAACACAUGCAAGUCGAGGGGAAACGAUAGAGAAAGCUUGCUUUUUCUAGGCGUCGACCGGCGCACGGGUGAGUAACGCGUAUCCAACCUGCCCACCACUUGGGGAUAACCUUGCGAAAGUAAGACUAAUACCCAAUGACGUCUCUAGAAGACAUCUGAAAGAGAUUAAAGAUUUAUCGGUGAUGGAUGGGGAUGCGUCUGAUUAGCUUGUUGGCGGGGUAACGGCCCACCAAGGCGACGAUCAGUAGGGGUUCUGAGAGGAAGGUCCCCCACAUUGGAACUGAGACACGGUCCAAACUCCUACGGGAGGCAGCAGUGAGGAAUAUUGGUCAAUGGACGAGAGUCUGAACCAGCCAAGUAGCGUGCAGGAUGACGGCCCUAUGGGUUGUAAACUGCUUUUAUAAGGGAAUAAAGUGAGGCACGUGUGCCUUUUUGUAUGUACCGUAUGAAUAAGGAUCGGCUAACUCCGUGCCAGCAGCCG